ACACACCGCCCGUCACACCAUGGAAGCUGGUCACGCCCGAAGUCGUUACCCCAACUGUUCGCAGAGGGGGAUGCCGAAGGCAGGACUGGUGACUGGGGUGAAGUCGUAACAAGGUAGCCGUACCGGAAGGUGUGGCUGGAUCACCUCCUU
rnacentral:rRNA from 1 species